CCUACGGGUGGCAGCAGUGAGGAAUAUUGGUCAAUGGACGAGAGUCUGAACCAGCCAAGUAGCGUGAAGGAUGACUGCCCUAUGGGUUGUACACUUCUUUUAUAUGGGAAUAAAAUGUUCCACGUGUGGGAUUCUGUAUGUACCAUAUGAAUAAGGAUCGGCUAACUCCGUGCCAGCAGCCGCGGUAAUACGGAGGCUCCGAGCGUUAUCCGGAUUUAUUGGGGUUAAAGGGAGCGUAGGUGGAUUGUUAAGUCAGUUGUGAAAGUUUGCGGCUCAACCGGAAAAUUGCAGUUGAAACUGGCAGUCUUGAGUACAGGAGAGGUGGGCGGAAUUCGUGGUGGAGCGGUGAAAUGCUUAGAUAUCACGAAGAACUCCGAUUGCGAAGGCAGUUCACUGGACUGCAACUGACACUGAGGCUCGAAAGUGUGGGGAUCAAACAGGAUUAGAUACCCUAGUAGUC
rnacentral:rRNA from 1 species